UACGGGGGGAGCAAGCGUUGUUCGGAAUUACUGGGCGUAAAGGGCUCGUAGGCGGCCAACUAAGUCAGACGUGAAAUCCCUCGGCUUAACCGGGGAACUGCGUCUGAUACUGUCGGGCUCGAGUCCGGAAGAGGAGUGUGGAAUUCCUGGUGUAGCGGUGAAAUGCGCAGAUAUCAGGAGGAACACCGGUGGCGAAGGCGGGUCUCUGGGCAGUAACUGACGCUGAGGAGCGAAAGCGUGGGGAGCGAACAGG
rnacentral:rRNA from 1 species